GAUGAACGCUGGCGGCGUGCCUAAUACAUGCAAGUCGAGCGAACAGACGAGGAGCUUGCUCCUCUGACGUUAGCGGCGGACGGGUGAGUAACACGUGGAUAACCUACCUAUAAGACUGGGAUAACUUCGGGAAACCGGAGCUAAUACCGGAUAAUAUAUUGAACCGCAUGGUUCAAUAGUGAAAGACGGUUUUGCUGUCACUUAUAGAUGGAUCCGCGCCGCAUUAGCUAGUUGGUAAGGUACCGGCUUACCAAGUCAACGAUGCGUAGCCGACCUGAGAGGGUGAUCGGCCACACUGGAACUGAGACACGGUCCAGACUCCUACGGGAGGCAGCAGUAGGGAAUCUUCCGCAAUGGGCGAAAGCCUGACGGAGCAACGCCGCGUGAGUGAUGAAGGUCUUCGGAUCGUAAAACUCUGUUAUUAGGGAAGAACAAAUGUGUAAGUAACUAUGCACGUCUUGACGGUACCUAAUCAGAAAGCCACGGCUAACUACGUG
rnacentral:rRNA from 1 species